CUGUCUUAGGCUCUGAGUGAUACCUCUAUUUUAUUAUAAUAAAUUUCCCUUUAGUCCCUAAACUAGAUUGAAAGCAUAUUUUUCACUUAUUGCCCACGGGUUAUUGAAGACACAGUGAUAAUGAGAAUCAGAAUGAAUUUCAGAGAAAGAGGGAAACCUGCAUAUUUGUUUGAACAUUAGCCUUGAGAAGUGCAAAGACACCUAGUCAUGUCUGAAUGUUUGUAUUAAUUAUUAAAUAACACUGGUACUUUGGAAUAAAGACCAUAUCCUGGCAUGGAAUCAGUACCUUCAAAAUGGUUCAGAAUGUACAGAUCUCAACACCGGAUGAAGGAUAACAUUACACCAGUAUUAUGCUGUAGCAUGAAGAUGGGAAGUGAGAAUGUCAUUUUCCAGUACUGUCUGCCAUCAGCCAACCUAGAGUUUGAAGGAGCCCAGAGUAGAUGGAGCCUUGAAUCCCCAGGGAGGUAAGUGGUUUGUAAUUGUGGUUGAGGGAUGAUUUAGCAGUGUGCUUGUUCAGUCCAUUGGAAGAGAAGACAGAUGAUUAGACUGGAAAUGGAUUUGUAAAAUAUUUUACUUUAUUUAUUUUAAAAUUUUAUUUAAAAAAAUUUUUUUUAAUGUUUAUUUUUGAGACAGAGAGAGACAGAGCAUGAAUGGGGGAGGGUCAGAGAGAGAGAGGGAGACACAGAAUCUGAAACAGGCUCCAGGUUCCGAGCUGUCAGCACAGAGCCCGACGCGGAGCUUGAACUCAUGGACCCUAAGAUCAUGACCUGAGCCGAAGUCGGACGUUUAACUGACUGAGCUACCCAGGUGCCCCUAGAAAUUUAUUUUAAAUUUAAUUAGUAUGAUUUUUCCACACUUUGUAUGUAACUGCAUAAUCAUAGCCAAAAUCACUUUAGAUUUGUAAAAAGGACUUCAAGAUUGUUAAAUGGGAAAAAAGAAUGUUCAAUAAUGUAUUUUGUUAGAGUUCUUUAAAAGAAAUCUCACAAACUAUCCAUAAUAUUUUCCAGGAUUUGGGCAUUAAGGUAUCCAUCUGAAAUCUUUCUUUAUAAAUAGUGUUUUGGCUUAAAGAAUAAGAUGACUUUUCUUACUUCAGAGUCAAAUAACUGGGCUAUGUUUGAUUUAAAUCAUGUUCAUGUUAUUUAAAAAUUGAGUGAUUAAAAUAUUUGAAUCAGAAAAGCAUAGUUUUUUGUUUAUUAAUUUGAUCAGUGGAAGCUAAGCACUUGUCUCGAUUUACCUCCUCCCCCCCUUUUUUUUCACUCCCUUGGUUCUUUGUGUAAUGGACCAAAUCAUACCUCUCUGUUAUAGAUCCAGAGAGCUGCUUGUCUUUGAAUAAGAAUAUUCAGAAAAGACAUCAGGCAUUUCCUUUCUCAAAUUUUAAAAUAAAGAGCCUCAGUAUUUCCA
rnacentral:lncRNA from 1 species